rnacentral:snoRNA from 1 species
UGCAAGUGAUGCGGGAGUCUGCUCCCUGGAAGACGUGAGGACAUUCUAAAGCACCAAGAUCGCUGAGGCA